UACGGAGGGGGCUAGCGUUGUUCGGAAUUACUGGGCGUAAAGCGCACGUAGGCGGCUUUGUAAGUUAGAGGUGAAAGCCCAGGGCUUAACCCUGGAAUUGCCUUUAAGACUGCAUCGCUAGAAUCGUGGAGAGGUGAGUGGAAUUCCGAGUGUAGAGGUGAAAUUCGUAGAUAUUCGGAGGAACACCAGUGGCGAAGGCGGCUCACUGGUCCAUUACUGACGCUGAGGUGCGAAAGCGUGGGGAGCAAACAGG
rnacentral:rRNA from 1 species